rnacentral:pre_miRNA from 1 species
UGGAAGACUAGUGAUUUUGUUGUUCUGAUUUAUAAAGGUGACAACAAAUCAUAGCCUGCCACC